CAGGAAGUGGGGAAACCCGUCUCCGCUCCCUGCCCCAGAGUAACAGUCCCCAUCCUUCUUGGGUGCCCAUCCCCGUGCCUGUUCUCCCAGAUCCCCACCCAAUGGACGUGACAGACUCGUGGCUCAAUCCCCUUCCUGGUUCCCAGGCCGACUGCUAGCACCACCCGAGCCAAUGGCUCCGGCCGAGGGGCGGAGGGGGCUGGGAAGAGGGGAGAGAGUGCUGGCUUUAGAACCACUACCGCAAAGAUUCUGAGCGGCGGAAGUUGUCUGAGCGCUUUGGUUGGAUGUGGUGAGGCCAGCUCCCGGACUCUGCGACUUUACUAUAAAGGAAGACAAUAUGCAAGUGUGGAAAAGUGCAUAAUGGAAAGAAAAGAGAGUUGAGAGAUGAAUUUAAAGUGUUGCUCCUAACGACUAAAAAUGGUACAACCACGAAUUCUCAGUAUCAGCCCAAAGGAAUAUCCUCGCAAUUCAACUUUCAAGUGCUGAGUAAUCAGACUAAACUUUCACUCAAUGAGAGAUUCUCAAAGCUGAAAAUUAAGGAAACACCAGAAUCAGUCAUUCCCUGAAGACCAAAAGAUCUACUUAAAUGUUUGUUGUUAACAGAAAGAUUGUAGUGAGUUAUAUUCAAGAGCAAUAACUUCUUACUGACCUUAUUAAAGUAUUUCUCUUAUAUGUUUCUUUUUUUAAGUUUUCUUUCCGUACCUAAUCUUUAGAAACCUUAUAUAAGUUUUAAUAUGAGUAAUGUGUCAAAACUAAGCAUUGAUGUGGAAGAAAAACUAGUUUUAUUUGCAUAAAAGAACAGGAAAGUGAGCAGGAAAGAAGGUAAUUUUGAAUUUUAGAAAAACCGAAGUAUAUGUCUUUUCAACAUUAGAGAAUUUGUUUCCUUGGUUUAAUUUGUUCUUUGAACUCCAGAACUUACAUUUGAGUCCUAAGAAAGCUCCUUUUCAUCAGUAUAGCAAAACAAAUUACAUGACUUUUAUGACUAAAUAUUCUGUGCUUCAAAAUUCACUUAGUAAGAAUGAAUUGUAGUAUGUGAUUAUUAAAAUGCUAAAUUUCUAUCCUGCCUUUUAUAGUUUUUCUAAGAAUUAUGUGCUUUCACUUUUGACAUGAAUUUAUAGCAGUUUUAAAUUCUUCUGUCAGUUUUUGUGAACACAUUAAAUAAAUAAA